CCUGGUGUGUUUAUUAGUGAGUGGGGUGUUGGUGAAUGCGUCGGCGCCUGAAAGCUUUACUCUCCAUUCCUUAUCGUCUCUAAAGUAUUCCAGCCGGGGAAAUCUUAAUGUGCAGCCGGAACCUUAAACUUUGUGGAGGGGACUAUUUCUGCAGCUUUCACGCUGACAACCUAAGAAUCUUGAGGGGUGGAUAACCACGUCGGGUUUUUCUUUAAAUCCUUCUGUAAGUUCAAGACUGAGUAGAAGUUAAGAUUAUACUGAAUAUAUAAUUGAAAAAUCCUACAAAUGCGGUGGACGAACUAUUG